AAAAGGGGUUCGGUGUCCUUGGGAGACCCAGUAAUCUUCCUAACGGAACGGGGUUUUCUAGCAAACCACCGUGACAGCUCCUUCAGGAUAGUUACUGCUCUAAUACACCUCUAAUAAAGUGGUCUACCAGGCGACAGAGUCAAUGAUCAGCUCUUCUCUUAGGUAAUUCUGAUAGGACUGUCUUGAAUGGAGGAGCAGAAUUUAUAACUUGGAUGUUUCCACCACAUCUAAAAGACUAUUCUAAGAGGCGGAAAUACAAGUUUUUAAUGAUUCUUAUAACUGUGCUCUGGCAAAGAAAUAAAAAUUUGGAUCUGAAUGUUGUUCCAUGCCUUUGCAUUUCUUAAAACACUGUCUAUUUUCCCUUAGAUAAAAAUCAAAGUCAAAUUCCUUUUCGGGGACAUGCAGCCCUCUCCAUUCCACAGCAAUUUUUGAGCACUUAUUGUAUUGCCAAGCCAUGUGCUAGGUAAUGAAGAUAAAUUGUCUUUUAUUUUUAAAAGUUUCGUAUCAUAGGCCAGGGUAUUUCAGGAAGGUGAAAUACAUGGACAUAAACAAAUGCAAUAUACCACAGAAAGCCUGUUACAGAGAAGAGGGCAAUGAGAAAUGGGCUGUAGUAGCACAGAGGAGUGAUGGAUUCUGCCUAAAAUGGACUAAGAGAAGUUCAGCAAAAAAAGUUUAUUCCAGGAGGAGGCACAGAGGUGUAAAACAGUAUGGCGGGUGAGGAGUAAGACGGGAGGUAUCAUACUGACUCCCAGAUCGCUGGUUUAGAACACCAACCAGAAUAAAGAACAGAGAUGUUUAAGGAGGUGUGGAGUAGGGUAUGCUGGGGAAGAUUAUAAAUUCAGUUUUGAGUCUGGUGAGUUUGAGGUACUCAGAGCAAAGUGGCAAAAUCUGGUAGACAGAAGAACACUAAGGAAAAUUAAGGCAGAAGUUUCAGGAAGAUGAGGUAGUAACGACAGGUAGGGUAACAAUAGGGGUUUGGGGUAUGCUAGCAAGAACACUGAGUGGUAUGGGGCAAUCAGGAGCCACACUACAGUGGGGUAAGGGAGAGUGAGUGAGGCAAGUCAAUGAAAACAGUCAGUACAGAAAUUCUUUCAAGAAGGCUUGGAAGUAAAGAGAAGUGGCUCAAUGAGGACAGGUCAAUAAGAGGUUCCUUCAGCCAGAAAAGAAUCAUUACUUAUUUGCUAAGGGAGAAGGAACCAGUGGAGAAGGAGAGAGCAGUAGGAAUGACAGGUGAAACAUGGUUUUGGAGGAGAAAUUGAGAUGUGGGAUUUAGGACUGGCCUUGAAAAACAGGGAAAUAUCUUUCUCUGUAAUAAGAGAAGGAGACAAUGAAGGAACCACACAGAUUUCUCCACAGCUAAGCUGGGAUGUGGACAGGGGCUCAAGCACUGCACUGAAGGUCUAGAAUGGCAAUUAAGAAAGGAAAGAUAUAAACCAGAAACCAAAAGGCCUAACUUACUGAUAAGAAUUUUUGCCAGAAGUGCUCAGCAGGGAGCAAAAGUAAAUGACUACAAUAAUUCCAGGAUGUAGGGUUCAAAAGCCAAGGAAAUGUGCUUAGAGUACAAGAAAAAGUGACUCAGGAAUUAUACGAUGAGG